rnacentral:rRNA from 1 species
CCUACGGGAGGCUGCAGUCGAGAAUCAUUCACAAUGGGGGAAACCCUGAUGGUGCGACGCCGCGUGGGUGAAUGAAGGUCUUCGGAUUGUAAGCCCCUUUCAUGUGGGAGCAAAUUAAGAAGAUAGUACCACAAGAGGAAGAGACGGCUAACGCUGUGCCAGCAGCCGCGGUAAUACAGAGGUCUCAAGCGUUGUUCGGAUUCACUGGGCGUAAAGCGUGCGUAGGCUGUUUCGUAAGUCGUGUGUGAAAGGCGCGGGCUCAACCCGGGGACGGCACAGGAUACUGCGAGACUAGAGUAAUGGAGAGGGAAGCGGAAUUCUCGGUGUAGCAGUGAAAUGCGUAGAUA